UAGAGUUGAUCCUGGCUCAGAAUCAACGCUGGCGGCGUGCCUCAGACAUGCAAGUCGAACGCGAAAGCUCCCUUCGGGGAGCAAGUAGAGUGGCGCACGGGUGAGUAACACGUAGGUAAUCUACCUUCGGAUGGGGAAUAACAACCGGAAACGGUUGCUAAUACCGCAUAAUGCAGCGGCACCUAAUGGUGACAGUUGUUAAAGCGGGGGAUCGCAAGACCUCGCGUCUGAAGAGGAGCCUGCGGCGGAUUAGCUAGUUGGUAAGGUAACGGCUUACCAAGGCUAUGAUCCGUAGCCGGCCUGAGAGGGCGGUCGGCCACACUGACACUGACAUACGGGUCAGACUCCUACGGGAGGCAGCAGUCGGGAAUUUUGGGCAAUGGGCGAAAGCCUGACCCAGCAACGCCGCGUGAAGGAUGAAAUCCCUCGGGAUGUAAACUUCGCAAGAACGGGAAGAAUAAGGAAGAGUUAAUAUCUCUUUCGAUGACAGUACUGUUUGUAAGCUCCGGCUAACUCCGUGCCAGCAGCCGCGGUAAUACGGGGGGAGCAAGCGUUGUACGGAUUUACUGGGCGUAAAGCGCGCGCAGGCGGCAGUGCAAGUAAGGUGUGAAAUCCCCGGGCUUAACCUGGGAACUGCGUUUGUGACUGGCGGGCUGGAGUGCGGCAGAGGGAGGUGGAAUUCCACGUGUAGCAGUGAAAUGCGUAGAUAUCUGGAGGAACACCGGUGGCGAAGGCGGCAUCCUGGACCGGUAUUGACGCUGAGGCGCGAAAGCCAGGGGAGCAAACGGGAUUAGAUACCCCGGUAGUCCUGGCCCUAAACGAUGAAUGCUUGGUGUGGCGGGUAUCGAUCCCUGCCGUGCCGAAGCUAACGCAUUAAGCACCCCGCCUGGGGAGUACGGUCGCAAGAUUAAAACUCAAAGGAAUUGACGGGGGCCCGCACAAGCGGUGGAGCAUGUGGUUUAAUUCGAGGCAACGCGAAGAACCUUACCAGCCCUUGACUUCCCGAUCGGGGCUCCAGAGACGGAGCUCUUCAAUUGGUCGGUGACAGGUGCUGCAUGGCUGUCGUCAGCUCGUGUCGUGAGAUGUUGGGUUAAGUCCCGCAACGAGCGCAACCCUUGCCAUUAGUUGCCAUCAUUUAGUUGGGCACUCUAGUGGGACUGCCGGUGAUAAGCCGGAGGAAGGUGGGGAUGACGUCAAGUCCUCAUGGCCCUUACACCCUGGGCUACACACGUGCUACAAUGGCGGUGACAAUGGGCAGCGACCACGCGAGUGGAUGCGAAUCCCAAAAAACCGUCCCAGUUCAGAUUGCACUCUGCAACUCGAGUGCAUGAAGGCGGAAUCGCUAGUAAUCGCAGAACAGCAGGCUGCGGUGAAUACGUUCCCGGGCCUUGUACACACCGCCCGUCACACCAUGGGAGUUGGUUCUACCUGAAGACGGUGCGCUAACCGCAAGGAGGCAGCCGGCCACGGUAGGGUCAGCGACUGGGGUGAAGUCGUAACAAGGUAACCGUA
rnacentral:rRNA from 1 species